UGGGGAAUUUUGGACAAUGGGCGAAAGCCUGAUCCAGCAAUGCCGCGUGUGUGAAGAAGGCCUUCGGGUUGUAAAGCACUUUUGUCCGGAAAGAAAUCCUUGGCUCUAAUACAGUCGGGGGAUGACGGUACCGGAAGAAUAAGCACCGGCUAACUACGUGCCAGCAGCCGCGGUAAUACGUAGGGUGCAAGCGUUAAUCGGAAUUACUGGGCGUAAAGCGUGCGCAGGCGGUUUGCUAAGACCGAUGUGAAAUCCCCGGGCUCAACCUGGGAACUGCAUUGGUGACUGGCAGGCUAGAGUAUGGCAGAGGGGGGUAGAAUUCCACGUGUAGCAGUGAAAUGCGUAGAGAUGUGGAGGAAUACCGAUGGCGAAGGCAGCCCCCUGGGCCAAAUACUGACGCUCAUGCACGAAAGCGUGGGGAGCAAACAGGAUUAGAUACCCUGGUAGUCCACGCCCUAAAACGAUGUCAACUAGUUGUUGGGGAUUCAUUUCCUUAGUAACGUAGCUAACGCGUGAAGUUGACCGCCUGGGGAGUACGGUCGCAAGAUUAAAACUCAAAUGAAUUGAC
rnacentral:rRNA from 1 species